AUUGAACGCUGGCGGCAUGCUUUACACAUGCAAGUCGAACGGUAACAGGUUAAGCUGACGAGUGGCGAACGGGUGAGUAAUGCAUCGGAACGUGCCCGAUCGUGGGGGAUAACGCAGCGAAAGCUGCGCUAAUACCGCAUACGAUCUGAGGAUGAAAGCGGGGGACCGUAAGGCCUCGCGCGAUCGGAGCGGCCGAUGUCAGAUUAGGUAGUUGGUGGGGUAAAGGCUCACCAAGCCAACGAUCUGUAGCUGGUCUGAGAGGACGACCAGCCACACUGGGACUGAGACACGGCCCAGACUCCUACGGGAGGCAGCAGUGGGGAAUUGUGGACAAUGGGGGCAACCCUGAUCCAGCCAUGCCGCGUGCGGGAAGAAGGCCUUCGGGUUGUAAACCGCUUUUGUCGGGGAAGAAAUCUUCUGAGCUAAUACCUCGGGAGGAUGACGGUACCCGAAGAAUAAGCACCGGCUAACUACGUGCCAGCAGCCGCGGUAAUAC
rnacentral:rRNA from 1 species